rnacentral:rRNA from 1 species
GGGGGACCUUCGGGCCUCAUGCCAUCAGAUGUGCCCAGAUGGGAUUAGCUAGUAGGUGGGGGUAACGGCUCACCUAGGCGACGAUCCCUAGCUGGUCUGAGAGGAUGACCAGCCACACUGGAACUGAGACACGGUCCAGACUCCUACGGGAGGCAGCAGUGGGGAAUAUUGCACAAUGGGCGCAAGCCUGAUGCAGCCAUGCCGCGUGUGUGAAGAAGG